CAUGGAUAUGUUCCAAUCUCAGCGACAAGCACUACUAUGAGGCCACUACCAUAUGCGAAUAUCUUCAUACAUUUAUGUCUAAAAUAGUUGAUUCCCGCCGCAACACACGGGCAUAUUUUCUAUAUAGACUAAGAUUUGGUAAUAUAUGGAGGUAGAUGAACAUGUUCGAAGGGAAAUCAUGAGCCAUAGAUCACUAAAGCAUCAGAAUAUCAUUCGAUCCAAAGAGAUGCAGAUGGAUGAACAUGUUCAAAGGGAAAUCACAAACCAUAAAUCACUGAAGAAUCCGAAUAUCAUUCGAUUCAAAAAGUUACUUUUCAGCAUCCGACAACACUGAUAUAGCAUUUGAUGUACACUUCACUUUUGAAACCCAAUCGGAAUUAUGUUCCGGUCAAUAUUGAGGAUCCAGGUAGUUCUAGGUCUCUCUUUUCUCUCUUUCCCCCUCCCAAUAUGUAGUUUAAUCUAAUUGAACAGCUCUAUUUAUUUAAGAUUUAGUUGCGUUCGUCAUUACUAAAAUUUGUUGCAAGAAAUUGGGGGAUGAAUUUGGUUUCAGGGGAAUGUUAUCCUUUUUUAUUCUUAUACUGCACAGAAAAAAAAAAAAAAAAAAAAAAAAGCAAUGCAUUGGGUGCAAGUAUGUGUUUUUUAUCAUUUAUUUCUGUAGUUUGAAAGUCAAUUGUGUUUUUGUUGCCGCAUCAUAUAAUUAUUCAAUAUGCCCUUUUUAGCAUUUCAAUACCAUUUGCACGUCAUUGUUAGCACUUCGAAUACCUUAUCCGCAAUUUCAAGAUCAUGCAAAACAAUGUGACAUUGCCUCUCUGUUUUUGGUAUCUUUGUUUAUCUCUCUGACAGACGAGUGCAUGGUUUUCACAUAAUCACAUUACGUGUUUCUUUAUCAAACUGUAUACGAUUUCUGAUUCUUUCACGUAUCAGACAAUAUAACGAACUUGAACCCAAAGAAGACAAUAAAUGUCAGGCUGCUAUGUACAGGUGACAUACAAGCAUCUGUAUUUCAUUCGAAAAUCAGGUGAAAUACAGGUGUUUUUAUCUGC